AUAACAUGUUGCUUUCCAUUGUGUUUGUGGGCAUGUUUUUAAUGACUGCAGUAUGAAACAAAGGCAGGAAGAGAUCUCCAGUUUUUUCACAAAGAAGAAAAUUAGCAGGGAGAGUGCAGGUGACCAGCAGGAGUGUGGCAGUGAGGGUGAAGCUGAAUGCUGCCAGGCAACUAAUGCAAGUUUCCAGGCCAGACCAGCACUCAUGAAGCUCCAGUACUUUCAGAUGCACAAAGGGAGAGAGCUGACCCUGAAGACCAUGCCGACUCAGAUGACAGCUGCAGCAACUCCAGCAGUUGCAGCAGCUCCAGCAGCAACGGGAACCUCCCUACUACUCCUACUUUUGCCACACCGAAAGGUCAACAAGACAUUUCUCAAACCAGAGCUGCAGAUGCUGUACAACCUAUCCUGAAGACCUUCCCUCGCACUCAGCACAGACAGGGAAGAACCAGGGCCUUCAGCGCUUCCUGGUAUAAAGUCUAUACCUGGGUUGAAUACUCUCAGUGCCAGGAUAGUGCUUUUUGUUUUGCUUGCAGACAUUUUUAGCUGCCCUCUGUUCCGGAGACAACGUUUACCUCAGCUACUGGCUUUUCAAAUUGGAAAAAGGCCAUGUACAAAGAUGGAGGUUUCCGCUAACAUGCUAGAGCAGAGUACCAUCUUAAUACCACGGUGGCAUGCACGGAGUAUCAGAGGAGUGUUGAGAACAAUACAUCUUUAUUCCAGGCAAUAGACAAACAGUACCAAAAAAAGGUAGAGGAAAAUAGGAUAUAUAUCAAAACAGUUGCUGAUGUUUUGCUCUGCACAGCCACGCCAUUGGGAGUCAGAGGACUCAGGAAACAAGAGCAACUUUCUGGCCAUUUUGGAACUCAUAGCCAAGCAUGACCCCUUAAUAAAACAGAAAAUGGGACAUAGCAAUGCCAAGUACACCAGCAACCAUAUUCAGAAUGAGAUUUUAGAGGAUCUAAGCAGAUAUGGUGAGAAAGGACAUUACUGAAGAGGUAAAAGAGAAGAGGGUGUUAAUGUAUUCUAGCUGAUGAAACAAAAUACUUAAAAACAGGAACAAAUUUCAUUAGUACUCAGGUACUACUACAGAGGUACAGUACAUGAAAGCUUCAUGCAUUUUGAGCAUGCAGACAAACUUGAUGCUGCUGGGCUAACUGAAAAAAUGAUGGCUAUGAUGGGGCUUCAGUAAUGAGUGGCAAGCACAGUGGUGUGUCUGCAAGGAUACAGUCCCUGGCCAAGCAUGCCUUCUAUGUGCACUGCAAUGCACAUUGCCUAAAUUUGGUUAUUGUGGACACAGUCAGAGCAGUACCAGAAGGGUCAUGCUUUUUUUCUUUGCUGCAGCGCCUUUAUGUGUGUCUGUUGGGUUCCUAUGUCCACCAUAAGUGGCAGGACAUACAGUGCUCAAUUUAUCAGGAGGAUCAGCCUUGAGAGUUGCCCAGACUCGAUGAAAGUAGGUGGGCUUGCUGGUAUAAUGCUUGCCAAAACCUAAUGGACCAGCUUCCAGCUGUGCUACAAGUCCUUUAUGACACUGAUGGGGAGAAUAAUAGAGACAUAAGUGUAGAGGCAUGUGGACUGCGAACGCAGCUAAAUCUAGAUUUCAUUGGCCUUCUAGCAACCUUUAGAAAAUUCCUUAGAGAUGCAAGGUUCUUAAGUGAUAUGCUGCAGCCCUCAUCAGUGGAUCAUGCCAGAGCAAUUGACCUCACUGAGGCACUGCAGGACUCAAUAGUAAAAUACAGAGAUGAAUCGUCUUUUGACGAGCUGUGGACAGAAGUGCUAAGCAUGGCUCAGCAGUGCAACAUCAGUACAGAGAGGAUGCCUAAAAGCCAACGUAAAACAAGCACUGCUCUUAACGACACUAUUGUCAUAUCCACAGCUGGUCAGCAUUAUAGUGACAUCGGCAAGGAUUAUUAAGGAUUAUUAAGGAUUAAGUCCGUUUACCAUCCAAUCCUAGACCGUGUAAAUGCUGAGCUAGAAAGGCGGUUUUCAAAAAAUAAUUGUGAUAUCAUAAGAGGGAUUCAGGCACUUAAUCCUAAAAGCAACGGCUUUUUAGAGGAGCCUCCUUUGUUUUUAUUUGGAACCAUUUACAACACAAACCUGGAGGAUCUGAAGCAUGAGCUCCACCAAGAGAAAGGAGAAAGAGAAAGGAGGCAGCUGGAAUGAAGAAUCUCACGAGUUUUCUUGAGUUUCUUCUAUGUCUUCUAUGAACUGUUCAGGUUGUGCAAAACUGAUUUGGCCCUAUCUGUAAGCACAGCUGCUGCAGUUUUUCUUCAUUGAAACUAAUCAAAAAUCACUUGCGCACCACCAUAAACAAUGAAAGACUUGAGUGAUCUUGGGGUGCUAAGUGUGGUGCCAAGUGAGCCAAGGUCUUGGAUAUGGACGAGUUUGUAAGGUUGUUCAGCAGCAAACACGGCAAUACAGUUAUUUUGAAGUGUCAGCACCUCCAAAUGAAUGGUACAUUGAGUGGUACUUGAUCUAAGUGUGAUACAGAACACAUAAUUGUUUAUAGUACACCGUGUAAAGAGCUGAGCAGUACUGAUUUUGAAUAUUGUUGUCGUCAAUUUCACUGUGAGAAUUUGAGUGGCAGUGGUGAAUUAUUUUUCUUAAGAGUAACUACUACUGAGAGCUAAAGCACUAAGUUCUGAUUUAGAGUGUAGUGGUAAGUGGUACCUACCAUGUUAAAAACGGAUUACUGAAGUGAACUAACACUAUUGAUGCCAAAUGUAAACAUUGCUGUUCUUUUAAAUGUUACUGUUCUAAAUUUCAUUCUUAGCCUUAUUAAAACUGAUAACUAC